GAAUAUUGGACAAUAGGCGAAAGCCUGAUCCAGCCAUGCCGCGUGUGUGAAGAAGGUCUUCGUCUUGUAAAGCACUUCAAGUUGGGAGGAAGGGCAGUAAGCGAAUACCUUGCUGUUUUGACGUUACCGACAGAAUAAGCACCGGCUACCUCCUUUCCGGCAGCCGCGGUAAUACAGAGGGUGCAAGCGUGAACCGGAAUUACUGGGCGUAAAGCGCGCGUAGGUGGUUCGUUAAGUUGGAUGUGAAAUCCCCGGGCUCAACCUGGGAACGGCAUCCAAAACUGGCGAGCUAGAGUAGGGCAGAGGGUGGUGGAAUUUCCUGUGUAGCGGUGAAAUGCGUAGAUAUAGGAAGGAACACCAGUGGCGAAGGCGACCACCUGGGCUCAUACUGACACUGAGGUGCGAAAGCGUGGGGAGCAAACAG
rnacentral:rRNA from 1 species